CAGCAGCCGCGGUAAAACGGAGGGUGCAAGCGUUACUCGGAAUUACUGGGCGUAAAGCGUGCGUAGGUGGUGGUUUAAGUCCGUUGUGAAAGCCCUGGGCUCAACCUGGGAAUUGCAGUGGAUACUGGGUCACUAGAGUGUGGUAGAGGAUAGUGGAAUUUCCGGUGUAGCAGUGAAAUGCGUAGAGAUCGGAAGGAACAUCUGUGGCGAAGGCGACUAUCUGGGCCAACACUGACACUGAGGCACGAAAGCGUGGGGAGCAAACAGGAUUAGAGACCCGCGUAGUCCCUGUCUCUUAUAC
rnacentral:rRNA from 1 species